rnacentral:misc_RNA from 1 species
GAUGAAGAACGUAGCGAAAUGCGAUAACUAAUGUGAAUUGCAGAAUUCAGUGAAUCAUCGAGUCUUUGAACGCACAUUGCGCCCCCUGGUAUUCCGGGGGGCAUGCCUGUCCGAGCGUCAUUGCUGCCCUCAAGCACGGCUUGUGUGUUGGGCUCCGUCCCCCCGGGGACGGGCCCGAAAGGCAGCGGCGGCACCGAGUCCGGUCCUCGAGCGUAUGAGGCUUUGUCACCCGCUCUGUAGGCCCGGCCGGCGCCAGCCGACAACCCAUCAUCCUUUUCAGGUUGACCUCGGAUCAGGUAGGGAUACCCGCUGAACUUAAGCAUAUCAAUAAGCGGAGGA